CUCUUGGGGUAAUUCCAAGUAACCUCUGCCCUAUGAAUAGUUUAAAUGGCCGCAGUAUUUUGACUGUGCAAAGGUAGCAUAAUCACUUGUCUCUUAAUUGGGGGCUGGAAUGAAAGAGGCGACGAAAUUCAAACUAUUAGUUUGUAAUAUAAAAUUAACAUAAAGGUUAAAAGGCCUUUAUAAAUCAAAGGGACGACAAGACCCUAUAAAACUUUACUGCAAUGUGUGUUAUUUAGGCAAAACUUUGAGUUGCAGUUUAACUGGGGCGGUUUAUAUAAAAACAAUAGUAGCAUAAAUAUUUUACAUAGAAUUUGAGAGCUCUAGUAGGAAAUGAAUAAGUUACUUUAGGGAUAACAGCAUAAUUCUCCCAGAGAGUCCUAAUUGGCGGGAGAGCUUAUGACCUCGAUGUUGAAUUGGGGCGUCUGGUAUAAGUA
rnacentral:rRNA from 1 species